rnacentral:rRNA from 1 species
GACGAACGCUGGCGGCGUGCUUAACACAUGCAAGUCGAACGGAAAGGCCCUGCUUUUGUGGGGUGCUCGAGUGGCGAACGGGUGAGUAACACGUGAGUAACCUGCCCUUGACUUUGGGAUAACUUCAGGAAACUGGGGCUAAUACCGGAUAGGAGCUCCUGCUGCAUGGUGGGGGUUGGAAAGUUUCGGCGGUUGGGGAUGAACUCGCGGCUUAUCAGCUUGUUGGUGGGGUAGUGGCUUACCAAGGCUUUGACGGGUAGCCGGCCUGAGAGGGUGACCGGCCACAUUGGGACUGAGAUACGGCCCAGACUCCUACGGGAGGCAGCAGUGGGGAAUAUUGCACAAUGGGCGGGAGCCUGAUGCAGCAACGCCGCGUGCGGGAUGACGGCCUUCGGGUUAUAAACCGCUUUCGCCUGUGACGAAGCGUGAGUGACGGUAAUGGGUAAAGAAGCACCGGCUAACUACGUG